rnacentral:SRP_RNA from 1 species
GCGGAGCUCAGUAGCGUGGGCUUGUGACUAAGCGGGGGGCACUAAAGGUGAUGGGACAUGGGCUUGGUUGCAUUGGGCUGGGUCCGCUGUGGCUAUCCACUGGCAUGCCCUCUCCAAGCUGAGAGUUGGGUCGUGUGGUCUGGGCGGAGACCAGGGCUUCGCAGCCUCUAGAGUAGAGGGUACAGUGUCAGGCUGGUUUGACAGAGCAGCGAAAACGUCCCGCCCCCGGCAGUGGAAGGAUAACAGACCGGUGCCACUCGAGCCCACCAUGGCUCAAUUGGCCAAACCCAUCUGAACCAUCACUUUU